rnacentral:rRNA from 1 species
CGCGUAGGCGGUGCGGUAAGUCACCUGUGAAAUCUCCGGGCUUAACUCGGAGCCUGCAGGCGAAACUGCCGUGCUGGAGUAUGGGAGAGGUGCGUGGAAUUCCCGGUGUAGCGGUGAAAUGCGUAGAUAUCGGGAGGAACGCCUGUGGCGAAAGCGGCGCACUGGACCAUAACUGACGCUGAGGCGCGAAAGCUAGGGAGCAAACA